rnacentral:rRNA from 1 species
UACGUAGGGUCCGAGCGUUGUCCGGAAUUACUGGGCGUAAAGCGCGCGCAGGCGGCCCGCGAGGUGUCACGUGAAAGCCCCGGGCUCAACCCGGGAGGGUCGUGGCAAACCGGCGGGCUUGAGGCCGGUAGAGGUGGGUGGAACUCCUGGUGGAGUGGUGAAAUGCGUAGAGAUCAGGAAGAACACCCGUGGCGAAGGCGGCCCACUGGGCCGGUGCUGACGCUGAGGCGCGAAGGCGUGGGGAGCGAACGGG